UUAAAGUCGUAAGAAGUGACCAGAUAUUUUAAAAAUACAGCCACCAGGACUGUCCAAAAGAUUGGAUGUCAGAAAGGGAAGGAGCAGCACUUAUUGACCUUCAAGAAAGGAUUCUGAGAAGGUGACCAUGAAUUCAGAAGGAAGGCUCCACUGGACAUGUGAAUGUGAGAAGCAGAAGCACAUUGGUGGUAUUUAGAACCUAGAACUGGAUGAAGCCACUUGAGGAGUAAAUACAGAUAAUGAAGAAAGUGUCCAUCAAGUACCAGAAUAAUGGAUGAAAAUCAUGACUCACAAUUUUCAUAAUCCAAAACAGUGAGAACAAAGAGGAUUCUCCAAGAUUCUGGGGGGAAAAAAGAAUGGAAGAAACAGAACUUUGAAAAGGAAUGGAAAAAUAAAAUUACUUCCUAAUAGCCCAGAAGAUUGAAGGCACUAAAACAAUUCCUUCAAAAUGUUGAAGGAAUAUUUUCAACCAAAACCCCAAAAACCCUAUAUGCGAAGGAAAUAUAAAUCAAAUGACAGAAUAAAGACUUUUCAAACAUUUCAA